rnacentral:rRNA from 1 species
UACGUAGGGUGCAAGCGUUAAUCGGAAUUACUGGGUGUAAGGCGUGCGCAGGCGGUUAUGUAAGACAGAUGUGAAAUGCCCGGGCUUAACCUGGGAACUGCAUUUGUGACUGCAUGGCUAGAGUUUGGCAGAGGGGGGUAGAAUUCCACGUGUAGCAGUGAAAUGCGUAAAUAUGUGGAGGAACACCGAUGGCGAAGGCAGCCCCCUGGGUCAAGACUGACGCUCAUGCACGAAAGCGUGGGGAGCAAACAGG